UACGUAGGGCGCAAGCGUUAUCCGGAAUUACUGGGCAUAAAGCGCACGCAGGCGGCUUGCUAAGUCGGGUGUGAAAUCCCUUGGCUCAACCGAGGAACUGCAUUCGAUACUGGUAGGCUCGAGGACGGGAGGGGUAAGCGGAACUCCAGGUGGAACGGUGAAAUGUGUAGAUAUCUGGAGGAACACCGGUGGCGAAAGCGGCUACUGGCCCGUAUCUGACGCUCAUGUGCGAAAGCUAGGGGAGCAAACGGG
rnacentral:rRNA from 1 species